rnacentral:rRNA from 1 species
GACGGAGGAUGCAAGUGUUAUCCGGAAUCACUGGGCGUAAAGCGCACGUAGGCGGAUCUUUAAGUCAGGGGUGAAAUCCCGAGGCUCAACCUCGGAACUGCCUUUGAUACUGGGGAUCUCGAGUCCGGGAGAGGUGAGUGGAACUGCGAGUGUAGAGGUGAAAUUCGUAGAUAUUCGCAAGAACACCAGUGGCGAAGGCGGCUCACUGGCCCGGAACUGACGCUGAGGUGCGAAAGCGUGGGGAGCAAACAGG